UACGGGGGGGGCAAGCGUUGUCCGGAAUUAUUGGGUGUAAAGGGCGCGUAGGCGGAUUUGUAAGUCAGUGGUGAAAUCUCGGGACUUAACUCCGAGUCUGCCGCUGAGACUGCAUUUCUUGAGUGUGGAAGAGGAAAUCGGAAUUCCCGGUGUAGCGGUGAAAUGCGUAGAUAUCGGGAAGAACACCAGUGGCGAAGGCGGAUUUCUGGUCCACAACUGACGCUGAGGCGCGAAAGCGUGGGUAGCAAAC
rnacentral:rRNA from 1 species